rnacentral:tRNA from 1 species
GAACCGAGUAGCUCAACUGAAUAGAGCACCGUCCCGCUAAGACGGCCGUUGGAGGUUCAAAUCCUUCCUCAGGUUCCCA